rnacentral:rRNA from 1 species
UACGAGGGGGGCAAGCGUUGUCCGGAAUUAUUGGGCGUAAAGAGCUUGUAGGCGGUUUGUCGCGUCUGCUGUGAAAUUUCGGGGCUCAACCCCGAACUUGCAGUGGGUACGGGGCAGACUAGAGUGUGGUAGGGGGAGACUGGAAUUCCUGGUGUAGCGGUGAAAAUGCGCAGAUAUCAGGAGGAACACCGAUGGCGAAGGCAGGUCUCUGGGCCAUAACUGACGCUGAGAAGCGAAAGCAUGGGGGAGCGAACAGGA